UCUCUCCCGUGCUCCUAUUUCUUCUUCUUCUUCUUUCGAACGUACGGACACCACACCAAACCCAUUAAACCUUAGCAGAUCGAGGGAACUAAGGCCAUAUUCGAGCUCGGGUGGUCGAGGGGAGCACGAUCGUACCAUUUUCAGCUCGUAGGUGGUUUGGUGAGGUCCCAAGGAGCCUCGGAGUGCUUCGUUUGAAGAGUUUUGACGUCGGGAUCACCGUGGUCGGAGUUGGCCGGUUUUGGUUGGUUUGCACAGGUGAUACGUAUCCCGAGGACGAGCGUGCUCACUCGAGGCAGG